AGCGGAGUAGAGCAUGGGUUAUAGAAAACUCUAAGCCCCUCAAAGCCUGGAGUGCUCGUCGAAUUUGCAUUUUGAUAAUGCAUAUACGAAUGGCCCAUAACCCGGAGGUCGGAAGUUCAAAUCUUCCCUCCGCUA
rnacentral:tRNA from 1 species